rnacentral:rRNA from 1 species
GACGAACGCUGGCGGCGUGCUUAACACAUGCAAGUCGAGCGGUAAGGCUCCUUCGGGAGUCCACGAGCGGUGAACGGGUGAGUACCACGUGAGCAACCUGCCCUUCACAUCGGAAUAAGCGUUGGAAACGACGUCUAAUGCCAAAUCUGACUUCCUUUCGCAUGAUUGGAAGUGGAAAUCUCAGGCGGAAAAGGAUGGGCUCGCGGCCUAUCGGCCAGUGGGUGUGGGUAACGGCCCGCCAAGGCGACGCCGGGGAGCCGGCCUGAGAGGGCGACCGGCCAAACUGGGCCUGAGACACGGCCCAGACUCCUACGGGGGGCAGCAGGGGGGAAUAUUGGACAGUGGGGGAAAGCCUGAUCCAGCAACGCCGCGUGAGGGAUGACGGCCUUCGGGUUGUAAACCUCUUUCAGCGGGGACGAAGCGAAAGUGACGGUACCCGCAGAAGAAGGACCGGCCAACUACGUGCCAGCAGCCGCCGUAACAC